GACGAACGCUGGCGGCGUGCCUAAUACAUGCAAGUCGAACGCAGUGGGGACGGGUGAGUAACACGUGGGUAACCUCCCAUCAGAGGGGAUAACACUUGGAAACAGGUGCUAAACCGAUACUGAUGGAUGGACCCGCGGUGCAUUAGCUAGUUGGUGAGGUAACGGCUCACCAAGGCCACGAUGCAUAGCCGACCUGAGAGGGUGACCGGCCACACUGGAACUGAGACACGGCCCAGACUCCUACGGGAGGCAGCAGUGGGGAAUCUUCGGCAAUGGACGAAAGUCUGAUCGAGCCACGCCGCGUGGAUGAAGAAGGUUUUCGGGUCGUAAAGCACUGUUGGUGGAGAAGCGGUAUCUGAACAAGAAGCCCCGGCUAACUCCGUGCCAGCAGCCGCGGUAAUUC
rnacentral:rRNA from 1 species